CUGACAGAAGAGAGUGAGCACACGCACACAAUUGUAUACAGUGUAUACCUUUGUGUUUUAUAUUAUUUGCGUGUGCUCACUUCUCUUUCUGUCAG
rfam:Nicotiana attenuata strain TT chromosome 5, whole genome shotgun sequence.